rnacentral:lncRNA from 1 species
UAAAAUCCCUGACACGCAGUUUGGAUUUUGGCCUACGAGGAAUACCAACCAACCCUUGUACAUUUUGCGCCAUGCCCUUUCAGCAGCCAAGGCAAACAAGAAAAAGCUGUACACUGUCUUCCUAGACCUUCAAGCUGCAUAUGACAAACUGUGGGAAUAUUUGAACUAUUAAGAUACCGGAAUACUUGCUACGCGCCAUCAUGGCCAUGUACCAAGGAGGAGUUUAUAUCCUUGUUGACGGGGACAAGAUGUCAGGCGAAGUGGCAUCUAACAAAGGGCUGAAACAAGGAUGCCUACUGAGCCCUCU